CUGUGCUUUCAGCUUCUUUACAGUGCUGCCUUGUAUCAUCUAUGUCAAGCAGCAUUGUACAGGGCUAUGAUGGAACAG
rnacentral:pre_miRNA from 1 species